AUUGAACGCUGGCGGCGUGCCUAACACAUGCAAGUCGAGCGGUAACAGGUGUAGCAAUACAUGCUGACGAGCGGCGGACGGGUGAGUAACGCUUGGGAAUCUGCCUAUUAGUGGGGGACAACCCGGGGAAACUCGGGCUAAUACCGCAUACGCUCUACGGAGGAAAGCCGGGGACCGCAAGGCCUGGCGCUAAUAGAUGAGCCCAAGUCGGAUUAGCUAGUUGGUAGGGUAAUGGCCUACCAAGGCGACGAUCCGUAACUGGUCUGAGAGGACGACCAGUCACACCGGAACUGAGACACGGUCCGGACUCCUACGGGAGGCAGCAGUGGGGAAUAUUGGACAAUGGGCGAAAGCCUGAUCCAGCGACGCCGCGUGGGUGAAGAAGGCCUGCGGGUUGUAAAGCCCUUUCAGU
rnacentral:rRNA from 1 species